UCAGUCGACUCCUACGGGGAGGCAUCAGUGGGGAAUAUUGCACAAUGGGGGAAACCCUGAUGCAGCCAUGCCGCGUGUGUGAAGAAGGCCUUCGGGUUGUAAAGCACUUUCAGUAGGGAGGAAGGUAGUGUAGUUAACACCUGCACUAUUUGACGUUACCUACAGAAGAAGCACCGGCUAACUCCGUGCCAGCAGCCGCGGUAAUACGGAGGGUGCGAGCGUUAAUCGGAAUUACUGGGCGUAAAGCGCAUGCAGGCGGCCUGUUAAGUCAGAUGUGAAAGCCCGGGGCUUAACCUCGGAAUUGCAUUUGAAACUGGCAGGCUAGAGUCUUGUAGAGGGGGGUAGGAAUUUCAGGUGUAGCGGUGAAAUGCGUAGAGAUCUGAAGGAAUACCAGUGGCGAAGGCGGCCCCCUGGACAAAGACUGACGCUCAGAUGCGAAAGCGUGGGGAGCAAACAGGAUUAGAUACCCUGGUAG
rnacentral:rRNA from 1 species